GAUUUGAAAUAUGUUACUGUAGUCCUCCUCUGACAUUACAGCCUGGAUGCCUGCUGGCCCUGCUCUGCAAGGCUGGGGCUGCCUUCCACCUUUGACAUUUUGCCAUGAUCUUUCCUCCUUGAAGGGACUGCUGUAAAUGGGGAAUCCCUCAAAGUGAUCUGUCCUCAGAAUUCUCAUUUAAAUGGCAGCAUAUCUGUUAAUUAGCCUCUGGUAGAGCCAGUUCUUCUAAGAAGAUCUCUUGUCUUCCUGGUGAUGGCCCCAUGAGGUGACCAUGUACACACAGUCUGACUGAUCCAUAGCCUGGGCUUGCAGGUUCUACAGUGACACACAUGGUACACGAUAACUGUGCGUGGAGAAAGGCUGGCAGCUUCACAGAGGAAACUUCUGGACCUGUGCAUAAGUUCAGAAUAAGCAACUGCCUGUAGCUUCC